UUGGCAGCAAUUUUCACUUGAACACUUAAAGUUAGCUUAUUCUUAUUAGAUACUAAAACCCAUAUUAAAUUAUACCAAUUGAACACAAAAGUACUAACCAACCAAAAGGAUAUAUUGAGUAGAUUACACGUGCAUGCAUGGCAAAAUAGUUUAAUUCUAAAAAGCCAUGUGAUUUUGACGCAAAAAAAUAAUUUAAGAAGCUUUCUUGAGAAGAAGAAAAGAUAUAGUAAAACAAUACCCUCUUUGUCCCCAACCUCAAACGUUCCCCCACUUGCCCAUGUCUCCAAUCCUGUUGCCGACGUCACCCCUGCUCCCUCUUUGUUGUUCAAUUUUUGUCCAUUGAUCUCGUCUGGCAAGUGGCGUUGAACAGAUCCAAACUCCAAAGCCUAAAGUUCAUAAAACCUAUUUAUCAAACUCCCCAAUGAAGCCAUGAAAUAACCGAAAACUUAGAUUCCGCAAAAACAUCCAAAUUAUAGAAUAAUGACCAAGUAAUUUUUAUUCUAUUUAUUAGGAUGUUGGUCUUGUUUGUUCACCGCUUAUUAGUUGUCUUUGUUUGAGAUUGAUA
rnacentral:lncRNA from 1 species